rnacentral:tRNA from 1 species
GCGCCAUUAGCUCAAUUGGUAGAGCAGCGGACUCUUAAUCCGGAGGUUGAAGGUUCAAGUCCUUCAUGGCGCA